GGUUACCCCAUUCCAUCUUCCCUCCCGAAAGGGGUUUACAAUCCGAAGACCUUCAUCCCCCACGCGGCGUCGCUGCGUCAGGCUUUCGCCCAUUGCGCAAUAUUCCUUACUGCUGCCUCCCGUAGG
rnacentral:rRNA from 1 species